rnacentral:rRNA from 1 species
AGUCUGGUGCCAGCAGCCGCGGUAAUUCCAGCUCCAAUAGCGUAUAUUAUUAUUGUUGCGGUUAAAAAGCUCGUAGUUGGAUCUCGGUUUCGGGCGAGCGGUGUACCUUGCGGUAUUUACUGUUUGCCCGGACGAUUUUGUUGGUUCGUUUAUGGUUCUCUUAACCGAGUGCCAUAAGUGGCCAGCACGUUUACUUUGAAAAAAUUGGAGUGCUCAAAGCAGGCGCUACAGCCUGAACAUUAGUGCAUGGAAUAAUGGAAUAGGAUCUCGGUUCUAUUUCGUUGGCUUUCGGAGUCGAGGUAAUGAUUAAUAGGGACAGACGGGGGCAUUCGUACUGCGACGUUAGAGGUGAAAUUCUUGGAUCGUCGCAAGACGAACUACUGCGAAAGCAUUUGCCAAGAAUGUUUUCAUUAAUCAAGAACGAAAGUUAGAGGUUCGAAGGCGAUCAGAUACCGCCCUAGUUCUAACCAUAAACGAUGUCGACCGGCGAUCCGUUAUCGUUAACUGAAUGACUUAACGGGCAGCCUCCGGGAAACCAGAGUGUUUGGAUUCCGGGGGAAGUAUGGUUGCAAAGCUGAAACUUAAAAGAAUUGACGGAAGGGCACCACCAGGAGUGGAGCCUGCGGCUUAAUUUGACCCAACACGGGAAAUCUCACCAGGCCCGGACACCGGAAGGAUUGACAGAUUGAGAGCUCUUUCUUGAUUCGGUGGGUGGUGGUGCAUGGCCGUUCUUAGUUGGUGGAGCGAUUUGUCUGGUUAAUUCCGAUAACGAACGAGACUCUGGCCUACUAACUAGACGUUAGAUCCCUUUGUGGGUCUAUCGCAGCUUCUUAGAGGGACGGGCGGCGUUUAGCCGCACGAGAUUGAGCAAUAACAGGUCUGUGAUGCCCUUAGAUGUUCUGGGCUGCACGCGCGCUACACUGAAGGAAUCAGCGUGUGUUCCCUACCCGAAAGGGUUGGGAAACCCGUUGAACCUCCUUCGUGAUGGGGAUUGGGGAUUGCAAUUAUUCCCCAUGAACGAGGAAUUCCCAGUAGGCGCGAGUCAUAAGCUUGCGUCGAUUACGUCCCUGCCCUUUGUACACACCGCCCGUCGCUACUACCGAUCGAGUGAUUUAGUGAGGCCUUCGGACUGGUCUUCAGUAUGGCUUUCGGGUCGUGUUGGAGUACCGGAAAGAUGACCAAACUUGAUCACUUAGAGGAAGUAAAAGUC